rnacentral:lncRNA from 1 species
CUGGAAGCUGGGAGGGGCAAGGAGAAUCCCCGACAAGUCUCUGAGGGCAAGUCUCUGAGGGCAUAGGACCCUGCAGACUUGGGACUUCCUGGGCAGCGCUGUGGGAGAGCGCAUUUCUGUUGUUGAGCCGAGGUUUGUGGUGUUAAGAAGGCGCGUUGGUGGUGGAGAGCUGUUCCAAGGGACCAGGACCUUCCCUGUGUCCAAACACAAGACCUGAGCCAAGGCCUUCACCCCAGACCCUGGUCAAGUCCAGCAACGUUAUUCCAGGAGCAAAGGGGGCAACCCCGACCUCCAGGGGCGGUGAGUGGACAAGGAGAUCACUGCAGCGGGUCAGUCAGCUUGCGGGGGCUGUGGGUAACCCGUGUGUCACCCGGCUGGGCCACAGGGCGCUUAGCCAAGCACAACGCUGGGUGUGUCUUUGACAGUAACACCCAGAUCACCAGACUGAGUAAAGUGGUUCCCACGCGGGGAGGGGGCAGUGGACGGCAGCUUCCUCCCCAGGUGGCCUCUCCAGGGUUCCACGGCUGGUCUUCACACUAAAACAGCAGCAUUCUCUGAGGUCAGACCUCUGUGCCUUUGUUCUGCAGGGCAGCUCCCGGGUCUCCACGACCUCUGUUACCAUGUGAGUCAGUUUUGAGACAGGGUCCACUUCAUGCUCCGACUUGGCCCUUGCUGCUCUGCCACUGCGACUGGUUUCUAAAUGGACCUGUUUCUUUCUCUCCCUGCUCCUCCCUAAUCUCCCCCUCCCGCAUCUCAGGGUUAACCAGGUCACCCUUCUUCCCACCUAGGCAGGGUUAUCUGUCCCCGAGCCCACCCCCUCCAUAGGAACAAAGUAAUCCAGAUUUGGGGGAUGGCCCAGAAGAUCUCAGAAAUGACUAUCUCCAAGUGAACAAGUGAAUCACCCUCCAACGGAGAGCACGGAGAGCACGUGGAACGCAGCCUUUGAGUCAGCUCUUUAACAGCCCCCUGCUCCUGCUGAGGGGCAGAUUCAUAGCCUCUGGGAUAGGAGUCUCCCUGGUUUCUCCUUUGCCAGCAAAACAAUAGACCUUCUUCUUCCUUUUCCUUAAACCCGUGUCCUCUUGAUUGGGUUGGCACUGGGGACAAGGACCCAACUUGAAGCAACACCUCAGGCAGUUCAGAUGCCCUCUCCCUGAGUUGGGCAUCUUCUGCCCUCUGAUCAGGGCACCAGCUGCAGCGGGUCGGGGCCACGGACUCCAGUGUGGCCUCAUCUGAAGUCCGUCACCUUCGCAUACCUGUUUCCAAUAAGGGUGACCUGAGGAGCUGGGGGUUAGGAUUUUAGCUCUUUUGGGGAACACCAUUUGACCCAUAACGGGGUCUUGCCAGCUCCCCUUGGCCACCCAGCCCUAAGUUCCCCCAACCACUUGGGGACACAGGUGUCUCCCACUUUUUGGCUGCCCACUGAGAUGGUCAUUGUCCUCUUUCCUCUGAUCCCUGCAGAACUGUCAAGAACCUGCAAACCCCAGCCAAGACCCGCAGGCCCCCUGCCGCCUCAAGCAGUCCCUUGCCGAAUGUUGAUGCUCCCCCAAGCUGUCGGGAGAGACAGAGGGAUCAAGCUCUGCCCUGUGUGAGCACCUUCUCCAUGGGCCCCGGAGUGAGCCGAGGCUGAGCCGUCCAGCACUGCCCGUGUGCUCACUCUGUGCUCUGGGCCCCGGAGCUGCGGCUGUGUUCCUCUCUCUUCUCAGUGUGCCUGGAUCAUCCUCAGAGCUGCUGUGCGCCCUGACAGGGCCUGGACCACUGUCCCCAGCGGGCACUUAACCUGGUCAGGCCGCCUUUCCACAUCUACUGGAAAUAAACCAGGGGCUGCAGGUCACUUUCUGGUUCCCUGGCCCCUGCGUGGCUGGGCUCUGCAGACCUGCUCUUUGUGGCCAGCAGGGCCUCGGGAACCUCCUGGAGUGGGCGUCCAGCUGCCCAUAGGCACUGCUUGGCUGGGUUCCUGGACCCUGCUCUGGGCCUCACCCCGUGGCCACAGAGAUUCCGACCCAGAGUGACAGCCUCAUCUGGCUGGGGCACAGGGUGGAGGCCCAGCCUGGGGAAGUCCUAGGCUUCUCAGGAGGACGAGGCCUGGGGAGGGGGGGGAAGCUCUGUUCCCUGCCCCCCUCCACUCCCUCCCUAAACUCAGAGUCCUUUCCUGGAGUCACUGCUGAGAAUUCGCCUGCUCCCCUUCUCCCCAGGGUCUCCUUCCCCCCAGCAGACCUUGGCAUCCUAAUGCCCCGGGCAGGAGCCUCAGGUUUCCAGCGAGGUCUCGGGGUUUUCCGCCCAGCAGCUCUGCGACAUCUUCAAGGACCAGGCCUGGACUUGGCCUUUUUGUCUUCAGAGAGACACGGGCAGGUCACGGUUUGCUAAGUGCCUUGUGGUGCCAAGGGCAGGUGGCAUGUGUCUGAGUCCAGCCCUCCUCUGCUGAGAGAAGGUGUCAGUGGGAACGAUUCUCCAGAGUGUGUAAUGGUCCCCCCAGUGGGUAUUUUGGGGACUAAUUGGCCUGCUAUUUGCAAGCUUCUUUGCCACGAGCAGGGGGGGGAGAACGUGGGGGUGUUUUAAGUGCAUGAAGUAUUGACUCAGUUAAUUAACUCAGCAUGAACUGUGAUCACAGCUCCCAGACCUGGCUGUGGUACUUGGUACUUGGCACUCGGUACUCGGUACUCGUGCAGCACCAAGAACUCAGGUGAGGACAGCAGGAUAUUUUAAAUUUUGGCAUGAACCUUGAAGUCUGUCUAAAACCAUGUGAACCGCGGGCUUGAGGGAGCUCACACUUUCAACAUUAGAUUGCACUACAUUCCUUUUGAUGAUAUCAUAUCUUUGCAAAGUUGGAUUUCUGGAGAUUGCUGUGAUAAAACCCAGUCAGUGAGCCACCAGUGUGGGGUGGGAAGCCAGCACAGAGGCUGCAGAGUGAUUCCCACAAUUGAGAAAAUUGUGCAGUGCCAAACAUGUAAACCAUCCCAUAAGUAUUUGAGUGUGAUAGUUUUCCUUUAGCUUAUGCGUGCCGUUUUUUAAAGCUACUAAGUUAUAGAGAUAGAAUCUUUUUAAUUGAGGGGAGGUUCACUUACUAUAAAAUCAACCAUUUAAAAAUGUACAAUUCGGGCUGGGAUUGUAGCUCAGCGGUAGAACACUUACCUAGCACAGGCGGGACCUGGGUUCGAUCCUCAUAUAUAUAUAU